GACGUAGGGCGCGAGCGUUGUCCGGAUUUAUUGGGCGUAAAGCGCACGUAGGCGGCUUUGUAAGUCAGAGGUGAAAGCCCGGAGCUCAACUCCGGAACUGCCUUUUAGACUGCAUCGCUUGAAUCCAGGAGAGGUGAGUGGAAUUCCGAGUGUAGAGGUGAAAUUCGUAGAUAUUCGGAAGAACACCAGUGGCGAAGGCGGCUCACUGGACUGGUAUUGACGCUGAGGUGCGAAAGCGUGGGGAGCAAACAGG
rnacentral:rRNA from 1 species